rnacentral:rRNA from 1 species
UACGUAGGGUGCGAGCGUUAAUCGGAAUUACUGGGCGUAAAGCGUGCGCAGGCGGUUUUGUAAGCCAGAUGUGAAAUCCCCGGGCUUAACCUGGGAAUGGCAUUUGGGACUGCAAGGCUCGAGUGCGGCAGAGGAGACUGGAAUUCCUGGUGUAGCAGUGAAAUGCGUAGAUAUGCGGAGGAACACCGAUGGCGAAGGCAAUCCCCUGGGCCUGCACUGACGCUCAUGCACGAAAGCGUGGGGAGCAAACAGG